CCUACGGGAGGCAGCAGUGAGGAAUAUUGCACAAUGGAGGAAACUCUGAUGCAGCCAUGCCGCGUGCAGGAUGAAGGCCCUAUGGGUUGUAAACUGCUUUUUUACAAGAAGAAACCUUGGUACGUGUACCAACUUGACGGUAUUGUAAGAAUAAGCACCGGCUAACUCCGUGCCAGCAGCCGCGGUAAU
rnacentral:rRNA from 1 species